GGCCGCGUGGUCUAGUGGUAUGAUCUCGCUUCGGGUGCGAGAGGUCCCGGGUUCGAUCCCGGUGCGGCCC
rnacentral:tRNA from 1 species